rnacentral:pre_miRNA from 1 species
AGCUGGACAAGUACUGGUCUCAGCAGAUUGAAGAGAUCACCACAGUGGUCACCACGCAGUCCGCUGAGGUUGGAGCUGUUGAGAUGA